rnacentral:rRNA from 1 species
CAGUAGCCGCGGGAAUACGUAGGUCCCGAGCGUUGUCCGGAUUUAUUGGGCGUAAAGCGAGCGCAGGCGGUUAGAUAAGUCUGAAGUUAAAGGCUGUGGCUUAACCAUAGUACGCUUUGGAAACUGUUUAACUUGAGUGCAGAAGGGGAGAGUGGAAUUCCAUGUGUAGCGGUGAAAUGCGUAGAUAUAUGGAGGAACACCGGUGGCGAAAGCGGCCCUCUGGUCUGUAACUGACGCUGAGGCUCGAAAGCGUGGGGAGCAAACAGGAUUAGAUACCCCCGUAGUCCCUGUCUCUUAUACA